rnacentral:rRNA from 1 species
UACGAAGGGGGGCUAGCGUUGCUCGGAAUGACUGGGCGUAAAGGGCGCGUAGGCGGAUGGUACAGUCAGAUGUGAAAUUCCUGGGCUUAACCUGGGGGCUGCAUUUGAUACGUGUUGUCUAGAGUGAGGAAGAGGGUCGUGGAAUUCCCAGUGUAGAGGUGAAAUUCGUAGAUAUUGGGAAGAACACCGGUGGCGAAGGCGGCGACCUGGUCCUUUACUGACGCUGAGGCGCGAAAGCGUGGGGAGCGAACAGG